AGACUUGGUCGUAGAGCCACGACCAACACAAGGGCUUGGAAACAACCCUUUGAUUUAAAAAACGCUCACCAAGA
rnacentral:ncRNA from 1 species